rnacentral:lncRNA from 1 species
AAAGAAGUGAGUAAGAGACCAAGCAAUACAUUAAAGGAAUGGCUCAAUUUUUAACCCAAGUGGGAGAGGAAUUUUUGGACAUUUGUCAACUCAAAUAAGAGGUAAAAUAGAAAGCAAAUUGGGAGCAUUUUUAGGCCACAUGGCCGGCCAAAAGAGAAGCAAUAACAAGGGGGGGAUGAAUUUAAUAAGUGUUCACUUUAGUUGUUGAACCACUUUCACCAACUCUCCAUGUGUCCAUUGGUUAUUUUGUCCAACACUUUGUUCAUUAAUCUUGCAAGCAACCACUUGGAUAUUGCUAAGGGGAAAGAAAGAGAGAAUUAGUGGGAGAGUAAGGCCAUAUGGCCGGACCAUGCUCAAGAAGAAAAGGAGAUUGGGAGAUAACAAAAUAUAUCUAUAGAUUUUCCAACACUUAGAUCAUAUUUUUCCCUUUCAUCACUUCUAUUAUUCUUGCUAGAACACAAGAAAAAGAGAGAGGGAGAGAGAAGAGGAGGCCAUGUUCGGCCAUCCUAAGAGGAGAAGGAGGAGAUUUUGAUGUUCAUACAAUCAAGAUCCAUCUACAUCUUUGAAGGAGAGAAGGAAAUCAAGUUAAGGUAUAAUAAAAAUUUCUUCUUAUGUAGUUUAUUUUCCUUGGUAGUUUGAUUUGAUUUUUGAUAACUUGAAGUUGUGAUCUUGAGGUUUAAAACCUUAGAUCUAUGUAUAUAUAAGUGUUUCAUGUUUAGAUCUAACAAUAUUGGGUGUUGAUUUUGGUUGG